rnacentral:tRNA from 1 species
GGGCCCGUAGCUUAGUCCGGUUAUAGCGCCCGGCUCAUAACCGGGUGGUCCUGGGUUCGAAUCCCAGCGGGCCCA